rnacentral:tRNA from 1 species
GGGCGUUUAGCUCAGGGGCAGAGCGUCUCGUUUACACCGAGAAGGCCGGAGGUUCAAAUCCUCCAACGCCCACAA